ACCCAUUGAACCAAGAGAAGACAAAAGGCCCAGUCGAACUUCCUUGGACUCUUACGGGCCAGAUAUAAAUUUUGGGCCUAACUGCAGUCAUCCCACUCGUUAGUGGGUUGGGCUUUUUUGGGCCGAGGCAACUACCGGUUGAGGCCGAACGGAACGUUAAAGAAGUUGAACAUACCCGCCGAUGCUCCUCUUCUUCACGAUCACAAACCGGACGCUAGUUCACCAUAUGCGCAUGCGCGCUUCCGAAUCCUCCAUCCCGCUCUCUCUCACCAGUCACCACUUCCACCAACCAUCGCCAUCACCAUCACCGCAAUUGCCUCGGCAUUAUUGCAUUAUUCGCUAUCUCUUCCCAAACCGUGUCUCCGCCACCAAGCCCCGACCCCCUUCCUACCAUCUUCGCCUUUGUACAGUGCAGUCCUUUCGUCGAACACUUGUCGGUCGCCUGAGAAGAAGUCGCGGGCAUGCUUGUCACGACUCGGGACUGUCAAUGUGCAGUGUGAUUGAAUGUGACAAGAGGAUGCUACCUGUCUCGUUGUUGAAUGCAUUGGCACUCGCGAGGAGGAGACUGUUUUCAGGCUUGGCAUACUCAUACAUAUGUAUCUGGAUGGAGAAAUGCUGUGGUAUCUAUGAGGCUGUCAUAUGGAUGACGAAGGCUUGCUCUGAGUCAUAACUGAGGCUGAUAUUGACAUAGCAAUCACUGGAUGCAUAGAGUACUUGGGUAUAUAUGUUGUUUUUUGCCCCCCAAUUGUGAGAGAGAACAAGACAAUACUCAUGAAGAUCUCAUUUGUCUCACUAUUAUUAUUUAUUGAAGUUUACAUAAUGUCCAACAGUGAAUUACUAUCUGCUUUUGAAAAUUUAAAUUCAACUUGGCCAGGCCGUUAUCUGCUUGGCUUGUCUAGUUGAGGAUGAUAGUUUAGUCAGCAUGUGGAUGACAACUGUGCUUGUUAACAUUUAGCUAAUUUCACAAGAAGCUCAUACCAGCUUUAUUUCAAGAGGGAAGCUAACUCAUGACCAAGUGAAAGGAAUUUUAUUUUUUUUUGCAUUGUGGACCUAAUGCUCUUGCGACAGUCGUCAUUCUUGCAGUAGCAGCUGGCAAAAGUCAUGUGGCUCAGAUCCAAUAGCCGUUGCAUUUAGUCAAGUGCAUCCGUUGACAGGAAGUGAAAAUGUAGAGACAACUCUGCAGUUGUGCAUUAAUCAAGGAUUGGACUCUUAAUGCAGUCGGUGAGUGGUGCUUACAAGCUUAUGCUUCUGCAUUACUCAUAGCCAAGACUAGUGCCUAAUCAUCUCUCUGAUUGCAUAUGACUACUCAAAGAAGACACCUUAAAGGUGUUGAAGGAAAUAGCUUCUAGGCGCAACAAUGGUCGUGGGAGUUUUGGACACUUUCUUUUCUACCUACUCUCGCAAAGAAACUCCUCUCACAAUUCCCAUGGCAAAAUUCACAUGUUCGGAAUUUAUCAUGUAUGGCAGGGCUAAAGAGCCGUGUUUGAAGGAGUUUCUUGUUUUAAAAUCAAAAUUCUCCAAGUAAAAUUCACAUGUUCCAUUCGAGUAUUUCUGAUCACGGUGCGGGGUUUGUAUUCUAUGGGCAUUGGGCCCAAAAUUUGCGUAUUGUUGCAUGUGUGUG